ensembl:miRNA
ACAGACAAAUAAGAGUGACAUUUACUUAUUUACAUAAGUAAAUGUCACUCUUAUUUGUCUGUGC